rnacentral:rRNA from 1 species
GUGCCAGCCGCCGCGGUAAUACGUAGGGUGCAAGCGUUAAUCGGAAUUACUGGGCGUAAAGCGUGCGCAGGCGGUUUUGUAAGACAGUCGUGAAAUCCCCGGGCUCAACCUGGGAAUUGCGAUUGUGACUGCAAGGCUGGAGUGCGGCAGAGGGGGAUGGAAUUCCGUGUGUAGCAGUGAAAUGCGUAGAUAUGCGGAGGAACACCGAUGGCGAAGGCAAUCCCCUGGGCCUGCACUGACGCUCAUGCACGAAAGCGUGGGGAGCAAACAGGAUUAGAAACCCGUGUAGUCC